GUGAGUAUUAGAUAAAGAGGCAUUGGUUCCAGCUGCUGUGAGACAUUCAGAGCCGAAUGAAUCACAGAGAGACAGACAGCACAUCAUAUCCAUCAUAAAUCUGUCAGACAGACGGCAGAUGUACCUGCUCAGACUCUCGUGCAUUGUUAGUGCAUGAGAUCAGCUGCGUUGGAGCAGUUUGCUCUUCAGUUCUGCAGGAUUGUGGCCCUUCAGGAGCAGGUUUGAGCUUGUCGUCCUUCCUGAAGUGGAUCAAGGGAAUGGCAAGCUUCGAAGUCCUUCUGAUGUUUGGAAUUCUCAUCUCCAUGGCAACACCGGAUUCCUGCUGUAUGAUGUCACCGGAACAGUGGAAUGUGUGGAAAAAUCGCUUUCUAUUCCAGACACACACCUGCUUCCGCAGACAACAGGAA
ensembl:lncRNA